GGUGAUGUAGCUCAGAUGGUAGAGGGCUCGCUUAGCAUGCGAAAGGUACGGGGAUCGAUACCUCGCAUCUCCA
rfam:Picea glauca, whole genome shotgun sequence.